rnacentral:tRNA from 1 species
GCCCCUAUAGCCAAGUUGGUAAAGGCUGAGUUCUGCAAAAACUUAAUGCGUAGGUUCGAACCCUACUAGGGGCUGA